AGAGUUUGAUCCUGGCUCAGAUUGAACGCUGGCGGUAUGCUUAACACAUGCAAGUCGAACGGAAACGAUACUAGCUUGCUAGUAGGCGUCGAGUGGCGGACGGGUGAGUAACGCGUAGGAAUCUACCUAAUAGUGGGGGAUAGCCCGGAGAAAUCCGGAUUAAUACCGCAUAAUCUCUAUGGAGUAAAGGGGCCCUCUUCUUGAAAGGUUUCGCUAUCAGAUGAGCCUGCGUAAGAUUAGCUAGUUGGUGAGGUAAAAGCUCACCAAGGCGACGAUCUUUAGCUGGUCUGAGAGGAUGAUCAGCCACACUGGGACUGAGACACGGCCCAGACUCCUACGGGAGGCAGCAGUGGGGAAUAUUGGACAAUGGGGGCAACCCUGAUCCAGCAAUACCGCGUGUGUGAAGAAGGCCUGAGGGUUGUAAAGCAC
rnacentral:rRNA from 1 species